rnacentral:rRNA from 1 species
UACGUAGGGGGCAAGCGUUGUCCGGAAUCAUUGGGCGUAAAGCGCGUGUAGGCGGCUCGGUAAGUCCGCUCUGAAAGUCCAGGGCUCAACCCUGGGAUGCGGGUGGAUACUGCCGAGCUCGAGUCCGGAAGAGGCGAGUGGAAUUCCUGGUGUAGCGGUGAAAUGCGCAGAUAUCAGGAAGAACACCCGUGGCGAAGGCGGUUCUCUGGGACGGUACUGACGCUGAGACGCGAAAGCGUGGGGAGCGAACAGG